rnacentral:misc_RNA from 1 species
GCCCUGACUUAUCGUCCUGAAUAUUGUUAAACCAUUGCAUGAGAUCGGGCGAUUUCUCAUGUUAUCUGGGUAUAACCACUAGGAAGAGAUUGUGCUCGUUCUGCUUUGGUUGAUGUCCAUCAGUUAGAAACUGAAAGAAAAUAAAAUUGAGAGCACAGCAGCCUUUUACUGAACAUGUACUAAGAAUACUUCAAUACUGCUGUUGUAUACAAAAGCAAACUGAACAUUGCACAUCAGAGGACCAAAACUUGAAGACCAUUAUUGAGCAACUAUGAAGAUGUUCCUGGUGAAUGGUCAAACUCAAUAACUGAUUAUUUACUCUAAUUUCCUUGAUACAGUCUCAAAACAUGAACUGCUGCAAUUUUCAGAUGCACUUCUAGUCUCAUAUAUAUAUGUUUGUGUCUCUUUAUGAUUUUGCAAUGUGAUCUUUCUACAUGCUGGAUGAGAAAAAUAUUGUAAAUGAGGCCAAAAACCGAUUUUUCAUUGAUUAAUGUUGCAUAGAAUGAAAGGAUACAACUUGCCAGCAAAGCAUGAAUAUGCAUUAACUAUUUGCAAAAAGAGUGACAGAAAAUAGUAUUCGAUGACUCUUUUUAAUAUGAACAUAAUUCUGUAAUAUCAAACUUAGGGGAACAUAAUCACUCAGAGAAGAAGGUGCAGAUGAGGAAAAUUAUAAUGAUGUAGAGAAAUACAAUCAGUUAAUCUCUCAUGCUAUAUUUCAUUUUCUACAAAAUGUAUUUCUGAUAAAAUUUGAA